rnacentral:misc_RNA from 1 species
ACUCAAGCAAGUGAGAAGGCACUUGAGCAAGUGCCUCCAAGAAAGAUUAAAGAUACGAAUCAACCGAUUGAUCUACAAAGUAAUGGAUGGCUGACUAGUGUGUCAUCAACAUUGGCAGUUCCAAGCAAUAGGAGGUUUGUACUUGAUGUGACUGGCAGGGUGACAUUUGAAACCGUUAGAUCCAUCGUGGAGUUUUUCACUUGGAAGCUAUCAGAGAACUUGAAAAGAAGUGUUAAUGUCGUCCAUGAAGAAGUUGUGGAGAGAGGGCUGGAUGUCAUUACUCAUAUCAA